GAAUAUUGGACAAUGGGCGCAAGCCUGAUCCAGCCAUGCCGCGCGCAGGAAGACUGCCCUAUGGGUUGUAAACUGCUUUUGUACGGGAAGAAACACCCCCUCGUGAGGGGGCUUGACGGUACCGUAAGAAUAAGGAUCGGCCAACUCCGUGCCAGCCGCCGCGGUAAUACGGAGGAUCCAAGCGUUAUCCGGAAUCAUUGGGUUUAAAGGGUCCGUAGGUGGACGGUUAAGUCAGAGGUGAAAUCCUGCAGCUCAACUGUAGAAUUGCCUUUGAUACUGGUCGUCUUGAAUCAUUGUGAAGUGGUUAGAAUAUGUAGUGUAGCGGUGAAAUGCAUAGAUAUUACAUAGAAUACCGAUUGCGAAGGCAGAUCACUAACAAUGUAUUGACACUGAUGGACGAAAGCGUGGGGAGCGAACAGG
rnacentral:rRNA from 1 species